AUGCAAAGAGAAGACGGCAUGUGCCCAGUGAAGCUGUUAUUGCUGGCGUUGAGCGCGAUCAGAUUCUUCAUCACCUUCCAUGUGGCUGAUGGAAAUUCUGAGCUGAACUGGUUGCUUGAGACGUUGAGUACCUGCAGAGGCCGCUCGGUGGUAAACAAAUAUGGCACCUCAGGCAGCAGUCCGUUGAGACGGUUGAAGCUGAUAUCAAGGACAAUGAUGCUUCCGGAGGACAUGAGCUCCAUCGGAAGGCCACUGGAGAAGGAGUUGUGCGAAAGGUUGACACGCCGCAUGCUGGUGAGGUCGGCAAAGGCACGGCGAGAUGCUCCCUUCGAGUCCUCUAGAUGCCAGGGAGACCUCCGUGAUGGCCCCAUGCUCAUUGCAAAUGAUGCCUUCCCACUCGCAGCAGUCUGUCUCAUGGCGCCACGACGCGGCGAGGGCGCUGUGUCCCGACAUCCCAGUGAGGAACUGGAGAAGUGCAUGCUUCUCCUGUUGGGUGCAUGA
rnacentral:rRNA from 1 species